UGGGGUAAAGCUGAUGACCGUAACUGCAUUCACGGUCAUCCCAAAAUGUCGGAUGAAAAAUUAGGUCAGUUUCUGUAUCGUCUGUUAAAGUGUUUCUGUAUCAUUUUCUUUACAAAUCAUACAUUGAAACGAUGUAAAUUUAUAAAAGAAUCACUCGGAAAUCACCAAUUACUUCUGAGAAAUGUGCAUGAAACGGGAAAUUCGAUUUGAAAAAAUCGCCAAGAUGACCGUAAAUCACAAUCGAGAUGACCGUAACAGAAUCAGCGAUUCAUAACAAGGCUGAC
rnacentral:lncRNA from 1 species